CCUGCGGGCGGCGCGUGUCGUUCCGGGUCGGGGAGGCUGAAAGAUGGCGGCGCCCAUGGAGCUGUACUGCUGGGCAGGCGGCUGGGGGUUGCCCUCGGUGGAUCCCGACUGCCUGGCCGUCCUGGCGUACGCACGUUUCACCGGAGCGCCUCUCAAGGUCCGCAAAAUCGCCAAUCCGUGGCGAAGCCCCUCAGGAACGCUCCCGGCGCUGAAGUCCAGAGAUGAGGGCGUCAUCUCGGAUCCCCAGCUGAUCAUCACCCACCUCAGGAAACAGAAGUUCAAUGCCGACUAUGACCUCUCGGCUCUCCAGGGUGCCGACACGCUGGCCUUCGCGUCCUUGCUGCAGGAGAAGCUGCUGCCCGUGUUGAUCCACACCUUCUGGGUAGAUGCCAAGAAUUACGUGGAGCACACACGGAAGUGGUACGCCGAGGCCAUCCCCUUCCCGCUGAACUUCUUUCUGCCGGGCCGCAUGCAGAAGCGCCAGGUGGAGCGGCUGCAGAUGGUCUGUGGGGAAAACUGCCUGGAAAACGAGGAAGAGCUUGAGAAGGAGUUGUACCGCGAAGCCUGCGACUGCAUCACCAUGUUGUCCCAGCGCCUCGGCCGGCAGAAGUUCUUCUUCGGAGACUCGCCGGCUUCCCUCGACGCCCUUGUCUUCAGCCACUUGGCUCCGCUCCUGAAGGCCAAGCUGCCCAAUGGGAAAUUUCAGCAACACCUCAAGUCCCUGCCGAACCUCUGCAAUUACUGUACCACCAUUCUGACCCUCUAUUUCCCUUGGGACGGAGGUGACCCCCCGCCCAGCGUCCCCAAGGCAGCUGCCGGGGACGGGAGCGAUCCCGAAGAGGAGCCCUUCCAGCUGCGCAGCCAGAUCCUCUCCGUGCUGGUGGGCCUGGCCGCCAUGGCCGGCUACGCGCUCCUGACGGGCAUCGUCUCCAUCCAGAGGCAGGCGCCGAGCCACCCACGCUCUCGCGCCAUCGCCAUGGGGGAGGAGGAGGAGGAGGAGGAGGAGUGAGCUGCCGCCCAGGCGGCGUGCGCGGCUUCUCCCGCUGGACCACUGCUUUCUCAGUCAUCCAAUAGCAGGAGUUCUCCAAUCUCCAGACAAGCAAAUGAAUCACCAAAUAAGUAUUAGGAAGUGAACAAAGCCACUUGAAGAUCAAAAUCUUUAUGCAGCUGGGAUCAAGAGAUCAAACCUUUGCAGCAAGAAUCCAUUAGAGCAGGCUGCGACCUUCCAGGGAGGACCGUCAGGGAAGAUGUGUGGGAUGAAACGAUUAUCUGGCCUUAUUGUGGCUGCAGUGCAGA